AGCAAACAGGAUUAGAUACCCUGGUAGUCCACGCUGUAAACGAUGUCGAUUUGGAGUUUGUUGCCUAGAGUGAUGGGCUCCGAAGCUAACGCGAUAAAUCGACCGCUGGGGAGUACGGCCGCAAGGUUAAAACUCAAAUGAAUUGACGGGGGCCCGCACAAGCGGUGGAGCAUGUGGUUUAAUUCGAUGCAACGCGAAGAACCUUACCUGGUCUUGACAUCCAUAGAAUUCUGCAGAGAUGUGGGAGUGCCUUCGGGAACUAUGAGACAGGUGCUGCAUGGCUGUCGUCAGCUCGUGUUGUGAAAUGUUGGGUUAAGUCCCGCAACGAGCGCAACCCUUAUUCUUUGUUGCCAGCGAUUUGGUCGGGAACUCAAAGGAGACUGCCGUUGAUAAAGCGGAGGAAGGUGGGGACGACGUCAAGUCAUCAUGGCCCUUACGACCAGGGCUACACACGUGCUACAAUGGCGUAUACAAAGGGAAGCGAAGGUGCGAGCUGGAGCGGAUCUCAUAAAGUACGUCUAAGUUCGGAUUGGAGUCUGCAACUCGACUCCAUGAAGUCGGAAUCGCUAGUAAUCGUAGAUCAGAAUGCUACGGUGAAUACGUUCCCGGGCCUUGUACACACCGCCCGUCACACCAUGGGAGUGGGUUGCACCAGAAGUAGAUAGCUUAACCGCGAGGGGGGCGUUUACCACGGUGUGAUUCAUGACUGGGGUGAAGUCGUAACAAGGUAACCA
rnacentral:rRNA from 1 species